GCUUAGAACAUUAAACAUUACCCUUUUGUCUCUGAGCAACUGAUCCUAAAACCGCUUCUAAUCCUUUGCUUUCUCUUUAUUUCUACCAAAGCGGUUAUAGUCUGCACAGCUGAAAGGCUAGCCAUAAUUUACUAUUGUCUCAUUGCUAAUACGCCAUUACACAAUACCAGACAUACUGACACACAUGCAGCAAAUGCAGAGCAAAUUCUCCUCAUUGGACUUUUGGGGAAGUUCCUGUCUAAAAGCUCGCAUGAAGUAAGUCAGAGCUCUUGUCGCUUCGGAUUUCGCUACUGUAAAGUCCCUCUGGAGGGACCACAUGACGAGCGUAAUUCACGCUUUCAGCUUUUGGACACCAGGCGUAUUUCUCGGGCAGAACUCGCCGUGUGACUUCGGGGCGCCCACCUCCCAGCCC
ensembl:lncRNA